GACGCCUAACUGCAGGCUGCCUUUCUUGUCCCUGACAUUACACUUUCAGCUGUGAACGUCUCCACAUCUGGGGCAUCAAUGGACACAGACCAUGCAACAGACAAACUGGAGCAGUCCUUUGGCAUUUGCUUGCUUCAUGCUGUCAAGUCAGCUCCGACUCCUGGCGACCCUGUGAAUGAGUGAUGUCCACAAUGUCCUGUCCUCAACAGCUCUACUCAGCUCCUGUGCACUCAUGCCUCUGGCUUUCUUUAUGGAGUCAAUCCAUCUCCUAUUUGGUGCAGCCCACAGCAACUCCAGAGUUUUUUCUAAGGGAUAUCUACAACCACAUCCCUCAUCUUAAAAUUCAGUAGAAGGGUUCUAGUAUGAACUAUGUGUACAUCAAGGGAGAAAAAUAGGAGAAUCCAUGCAACUGCCAAUUUGCAAAUACUUCUCUUAGAGGCAAGCACGAGGAAGCAGGAUAAGUGAUACAGACCAUAAAAACAAUUUGACAUGUUUAUGGCAAAUAAACUUGUAAGGAAAUGUUUAUCCUUCUGAGUUAUUAGAGA
rnacentral:lncRNA from 1 species